ensembl:lncRNA
AGCUGAGAUGGGUAGUCUGCAGAUCCUAGAAUCGUCUGGAGAUUGUGACCAGGCUCCCAAGUGGAAUUACUGUAAGCCUUGACUAGCAAGAAGCAGCUUACAUUAUGGAGUCUUGGGCUUUUCUUCUGACCACUGUAGGGAUUAAGAGGACAAGUUAAACUUCGGUUCCCAGAAGCUGAACAAUCUUCUCAAGAUGAGGGAUGAAUUAGGAGUAGAGCUGAAUUUUAUUCUUUCUGCUUAACCACCCUGCCUGUCUUCUCCUGGAUAUUUCUGUAACAAACCCUGAGAGAGAGGGCUCCAGCUGUACUCAGCUCUCUAGUCACUCCUGCUAAGGCGCCAGACAUGGGGAAAAGAAGCCAUCUUGGACA